GGGAGGCACACGAUCCAAGGUCCUUUUAGUCUCAGAGGAUGGGAAGAUCCUGGCAGAAGCAGAUGGACUGAGCACAAACCACUGGCUGAUCGGGACAGACAAGUGUGUGGAGAGGAUCAAUGAGAUGGUGAACAGGGCCAAACGGAAAGCAGGGGUGGAUCCUCUGGUACCGCUGCGAAGCUUGGGCCUAUCUCUGAGCGGUGGGGACCAGGAGGACGCGGGGAGGAUCCUGAUCGAGGAGCUGAGGGACCGAUUUCCCUACCUGAGUGAAAGCUACUUAAUCACCACCGAUGCCGCCGGCUCCAUCGCCACAGCUACACCGGAUGUGGCAAGCUGUUGCUCUGUGCCAGGCCUUGGCCACACUGAGCCUCCUAUUCCCUUUCCGCAGGUGGAGUUGUGCUCAUAUCUGGAACAGGCUCCAACUGCAGGCUCAUCAACCCUGAUGGCUCCGAGAGUGGCUGCGGCGGCUGGGGCCAUAUGAUGGGUGA
rnacentral:sRNA from 1 species